rnacentral:rRNA from 1 species
UACGAAGGGGGCUAGCGUUGCUCGGAAUCACUGGGCGUAAAGGGUGCGUAGGCGGGUUUUUAAGUCAGGGGUGAAAUCCUGGAGCUCAACUCCAGAACUGCCUUUGAUACUGAAGAUCUUGAGUCCGGGAGAGGUGAGUGGAACUGCGAGUGUAGAGGUGAAAUUCGUAGAUAUUCGCAAGAACACCAGUGGCGAAGGCGGCUCACUGGCCCGGUACUGACGCUGAGGCACGAAAGCGUGGGGAGAAAACAGG